GGUCGUAUGGAGUAGUGGUCAACUUAGGAGAUUUUGAAACAGGCGACGAGCUUCGUUGCCUUUCCUUUAAAUUUCUCUUGCCCCGGGUUCGAAUCCCGGUAUGACCU
rnacentral:tRNA from 1 species